rnacentral:misc_RNA from 1 species
GGGGGCUUCCCGGGCUCGGGUAACCGGAGUGCUGGUAUCUAAUCGUCGCUCAAAAGCUCCUAGGUGCGCGGGUGGAUAUAAUUCCCGGCUUCUCGAGAAGACACUACAGCCUCAAGGAGGUAUAUCCCGUGCCUUACCUGACUGGGGGCUCUGAGUCCAGUUGUGUUGUCUUCAACUUAGACACCAUGGAGGCACCUCCAGUCACCAUGAUGCCUGUCACUGGGGGCACCAUUAACAUGAUGGAGUACCUGUUGCAGGGUAAGUGAACUAGGGAACUUGGAUUACCUGUUUUCCUCUUCUCUGUUCAGCUUCCCU